rnacentral:lncRNA from 1 species
GCAGAAGGCAGGAGGAGGGAGGGGAGGAGGGGGAGGGAGGGAGAGAGGGAAUCCAGCUACCACCACCCAAAGCCAGCGUCUGCUUUCUGUCCUCAUUUCCUUUUCCCACCCAGCUUGGAGAGCAGAGAAAGGCAGAGAGAGCGAGAAAUAGAGACAGUCUGAGAGACAGACAGACAGCCAGAGAGAGCGGGAGGGAGGAGGGCGGAGGAGGAGGAGCAGGAGGACUACGCGGGGCGCGUUCCCUCCCAGCAGCCGGGCGCCCGCGUCGCUGCCACCGCCGGAAGACAGACGUCCCCCAAAACCCCUCGCCUGGCUCGGACCCACGGAGCCGGCAGCCCAGCACUCCGAUGGGAGCUUGCCUGAUUGUCAACCCAUCGGCCUGGACCCCAGAGCCCACCCAGCUGAGCGUGUGCAGAGGGCCCCGAGUGCGGGGCGACGCUCAGGCCGUUGCAGAGACCACCCUGGAGAUGCUGAUGAAGACAGGCCUUUCCUGCUGAGCCCAGCCUAUCUUCGCAGCCUGCUCAGAAAGGGGAACUGAGGCUCAUGGAUAUACAGUGAGUCCUACCUCCUAGCCUGAGGACUCUUCCCUGCGCCUUGAUGACCUGAGAGAACUGGGAGGAGAAAGGGGUUGUGACAAUGACCAGGACUCAGGGCAGAGGUGGAAACCAGAGUGCCUGAUGUGUGCAGCUGCUGACCCCCCAGGACACCUCUCUACCGGAGUCUGUGGAAGCAGAGAACUGGGAGGCCAAGGCGCUGUCCACGCCCCGAGGCCUGGGCUCAGGCCGAAGUUGCUCCACAGCACCCCCAGCUGACAGCCAGCGACUGGCAGAGCCCCCAGGCACGGGGGCCCUCUCUCUUCCAGAGAUCUCCAGUGUGACAGCCCAGGCGGCAGAGCCGAGGGUGAGUGGUGGGGGUUCUCCUGGAGCCCUUUCGGGGUAAGAAGGAGGGAGGCCGUGCCCUUGUUAGAACUUCCUGGCCUUCUCCUUAAGUUUGAUCACCCUGCUGAUGUGCUUCCCUCUCAAAGGCAGGGGUCCUGUUCUUCCUGAGUGCAUAGCCAGAUUCCCAAAGGGGAUGAGCUGUCAAUAAGUGAAACUGGGCCGGGCAUGGUGGCUCACGCCUGUAAUCCCAGUAUUUUGGGAGGCUGAGGCGAGUGGAUCAUCUGAGGUCAGGAGCUCCAGACCAGCCUGGCCAACUUGGUG